UUUCCAGUCAUGAUGCUUUGGGUCAUGACAAGGUUGGUAUCAGAGUUUUAGGUUCGUUGAUCUAAUCGUACUAAGAUAGGUGUAGCGGAGUCUUACUAAAUAGUACAGAGAUGUCUAUACUGCUCUUCGAGAGGCUAUAUGUUGCUAGGAAAACUCACUUUUUAUUUACUUCAUGCUAUUACUUGAUUAUAAUUGUUAUAUGGUGAUCCAAAUUGGUAUCUGACUCAUCACUCUUUUCUCUCACAAAUGGUAAGAACACAUUCGGGUGAGGCAAAAGCCAAGGUUCUUGAGCUAGUUGCCGCUCUGUGACUCACAGUUAAGGAUGGGCGGCCAGAGGUAGGAUGAGAGUAGCAAUCCAAUCGGGACUAGAACUCUAGUUGUUUAACAGGUGAGAGACAGAAGUGAUUCCCCUGCACCUCAAGAGGCUCUAGAGAUUGUGAAAAAGAAGGUAGAUGUACUAGUUCGAGAGGUAAUUGGCAAGUAAUGGGACUAUGCCCACAGUUCCUGCAGUUCCCGCAGACUAGUUUUUGGGAGUUCAGCAUGUUGCAGCUAUGGCUCUGUGGAUGGAUCAAAUUUCUAAUUCAGGUAUGUUUCUGAGGCCUGUGACUGCACCAGUGAUGACUAAAGGAGAGCAUGAUCUAUUAUAGAGGUUCACCAAGGUGAAGCCUCCUAUUUUCUAUUAUACUGAGUCUGAGGACCCUUAUGAGUUUAUCAUUAACUAUCAUGAAAGGUUCCAUAAGAUGUGGGAAGUGGAGAGAUAUGGAGUGGAUUUUGUAAUUUUCCAGCUGAUGGGAAAUGCUAAGUUAUAGUGGCAGGUUUAUGUUGAGUGUGGACCUGUCGGUUCACUUCCUUUGAUGUAGACCUAGUUUCACUACAUCUUUCUAGAGCAGUAUGUUCCUCGUACCUUGUGAGAGAAGAGACAUGAUGAUUUCACCAGUAUAGUGUAGGGGAGUUUUUCAGUCACAGUUUAUCAUGCCCUAUUCCAUUCUUAUCCAAGCAUUCUCUGCAACUACUGCCCACCGAGGAGGAGAGGAUCAGACAGUUUAUUAAAGGUCUGAAUGUGGGACUUAAGCUUGCAAAUCUACGGGGCUUCUCCUAAUUCAAAAAUUCUCUCCCUUUGUGCAAACAUAGCAAUAUUUUCAUAUUGAAUUUGUGUUCUUUGAUUUACGCACUUAUCUCAUAAACUUAAUUUCUUAAAGAAUCCUUCUUGCAUUUUGAAUCUGUUUUACCCCGCCGUCUGAUCAACAACCAUCUCUAGUCAGUUUACUAAUUGAGACUUCCUAAGGACAUGAUUUUUAUAUAGAUGUUUGUAGAUCAUCAAAAUUAGUUUCUGCCUAAAUCAAGACCUUCCAUUUUUUUUCUUUAACGACCUUGCACCAAAAAUACAUGCUAAACAUAUAAGUUGAGCAACAAAACAAUUUUAAAAGGAACUGUUCAAGUGUAAGAAGAACAUCAAAUUUUGUUCACUAUAUUCAUAUCCAAAUCCCAACGGUUGAGUGUCGUGCAAUAAGGACUCAAUCUCCUCUGAAUGUUGAUCAGUUUGAGCCCACGAGUGCUUCAAUUUUGAUCCAGCUUCCAAUUCAUAGUAGGUCGAUCAUCCCCUUAAACAUUUAAGCACCUUUGUGCAAGCACGGCAACAUUUUUCAAUUGCCCUGCAUUUCCCUCAUCACAGACUAUAUUGUCGUCAAGAAUAUCGAACAAAUGACCCUUUUCCACUGAAGAUAUGAAAUAUUGAGCUAGACUUCUCUCUUCUUCUGGUCUUUCAAAACAUAGAGCCUUUCUACCGGUUAGGAGCUCUACAAGCACUACUCCGAAACUGUAUACAUCACUUUUUUCAGUGAGCUGACUUGUUUGCAAGUAUUCAGGAUCUAGAUAUCCUAGAGUUCCUUGAACCAAUGUAGCUAGCUCUGUUUGAUCAGCAGGAACCAACCUGGAUGCUCCAAAAUCAACACUUUGGCUGUGUAGCUUUUGUCUAGAAGAAUGUUGACUGACUUAAUAUCUCUAUGGAUAAUAGGAGGGUAAGCUGCUGAGAGCAAGUAGGAAAGUACUCCAGCAGUUUCUGCAGCAACUUUCAGACGAAUAUCCAAAGAAAGAGUUGACGCCUUUAAUUUAUCAUGCAAGUGUUCAGAAAGUGUUCCAUUGCUGAUAAAUUCAUACACCAAUAGAAAUAAUUAAUGUAAUAACUAUGAAAUUUAUAAUAUUAUCAACUUUCCUUCGUCUAAAAUACUGAAAUAUUAAGAAAUAGUAAAUAAGUAAAACAAAAGAGCAAUGUUUAUAUAGUAAUAACUAUUUUGAAGCAAAACUUCCUGACAAUCUAAAUUACAUAAGUAGCAUUGAUAAAUAAAGUCAUUCUUUUAUCUUGAGCAUAAAAAAAAAAAUCAUGACGAUUCUCUAAAUUUUGGAAAAGGAUAUUCAGAAGCAUAUAUCUACAUCACAAGAGAAAUUGUUAACAAAAACAAAUAAAUUUAGACUACAUCAUGUUAACUUCAUAUAUUGGAACAUUACAUACUAAAGUAUAUAUUAAGCAAAAAAAUAAUUAUUAUAUUAUCAAAAUUAUUUUCCUCAAGUACUUAAAGUUAUGGAAUAUACCCUCUUAUGAUAGAACGAUUUACUUUAUCAGAAGAGUGGUACCUCAUAUUUCGCUAAACUUCGAACUCACUCAACGACAAUAAAUCACACAAAAAUUUUAAAAUGCAAGAAGAAGAAGAGUAGAAGAUUAAAAACUUGUGGUUGAAAAAUGAGAGGAAGCCCUUCUAUUUAUAGUCAACAAAGGGUAGUAUAAACAAGUGUUUUUUUGUGCCUUAUCUAAAAAGUCAUGACCUUUCCGAAAAAUCACAACCCUUUCGAAAAGUCACAACUUAUUGAAAAAGUCACAACUCUUUGGAAAAGUCACAACUCAUCGAAAAAUCACAACCUGGUAGUAUGAACAAGUGUUUUUUUGUGCCUUAUUUGAAAAGGCAUGACCUUUUCGAAAAGUCACAACCCUUUCGAAAAAGUCACAACUUAUUGAAAAAGUCACAACUAAUCGAAAAAUCACAACCCCUUGAAAAAAGUCACAACUUAUCGGAAAAGUCACAACUCAUCAAAACAAAUGUUUUUUGUGCCUUAUCUCAAAAGUCAUGACCUUUCCGAGAAGUCACAACCCUUUGGAAAAGUCACAACUUAUUGAAAAAGUCACAACUAAUCGAAAAAUCACAACCCCUUGAAAAAAGUCACAACUUAUCGGAAAAGUCACAAUUCAUCGAAAAAGUCAAAAUCUAAGUUAGGGAUAUUAUAGUAAUUUAACAUUCAAGUUUAGGAGUUAAUACUUUUAAGAUAAUAUAUAAAUAUAAAUAUAUAUAUAUAUAUAUAUAUAAUAGAAUAGAAUAGAAUAUAGAUAGAUAGAUAGAUAUAGAUGAUAAGUAUUUGUUUUCUAUUCUAUCAUUCAAUUAAUAGAGAAUAUUAUUCAGAAAAUCUUAUGUCUUUCUAGCAUGGUAUCAAGAGCCAUGUUUAAUUUUCUUUCUAGUGCUCUCUGUUUUCUCUACUUAGUUACUUUCAUGCGUUCCUCUUGUCUCUUUGUUUUCUCUACACAGGUAUUUAUACUUUUUUUUUCUUUCUACUAUGUUAUAUUCUGUCUACUCGAUGAAUUCACAAUCAUCCUCGCGCAGUUUUCUCUCCACAAAGUUGGAUUGUUCUAAUUUUUCUGUAUUGAAAUCCACUUUGAAAUCUUUGUUCAAGGAAAGGGCUUUUUUGGGUGAUUAGAUGGUUCUACUCGUCUGCUAAAAGAUGCAAAGGAGUUGGAUACUUGUAAAUUGAAUAAUUUAAAGGUAAUCUCUUGGAUGUUGAAUUCGGUACAUGCUAAUAUCCAUAUGGGACUUUGACCAUUUAAUUUUGCUUCAGAGAUGUGGCUCCACCUGCGUAAUGUCUAUCAACAAAGAAAUCUCAGAUGAGAGUUUGAAGUGGAACGUAGCAUUGCCGAAUACACAUAGGGGGACAAAAAUGUUCGUUGUUUUUACAUUGGCUUGCAGUUGCUCUGGUUAGAAGAAAUUCAAUUUUUUGUGCGAAAUAUAUCUACAACAGGGCUCAAGGAGAUGCUGGCAGAACGACAAAAGACAAGGAUGGUGCAGUUCUUGAUGAAACUUCGGGCUGAAUUCUAGUCGAUUCGUGGCAGUUUGUUGAACAGAGAAGUCACACCUGCUCUUGAUGUUGUAUUGGCAACCAUCUUGCGUGAAGAGACCAGGCUUUGAACUCAGGCUGCCGUGGAAUAUAUGUCAUUACCCGUUGUUGCAUUACUUGCACAAAAAUCAAAUGUCGUUGCUUCAAUAGGAAAUACUAAGAGAAGUGUCCAAUGCUAUGAAUUCCAUGACUUUGGUCAUAUAGCAUUCAAUUGUCCUAAGAAGAAAUUUUUUUGUGCUUAUUGCAAGAUUACUGGCCAUCAUAUUUCAGACUAUCGUCAUCAUCCAAAUAGUUUGCGGCCUGCUCACCAAGCAUACCAGACGAACGUCACUAAACCAUCUGGUUCCUUCCCUGCUGGAGAUGAUCUUGAAAGGCUGAUCUGAGAUUCUAUAGCAGUUUUCCUUCCCAAAGCCAUCUCCAGUGCACUCUCGACAUCCUCAGGUAUAAGUAAUUCAGUUAAAUCAACUUGGCAUCUAGAUUCAGGUGCUUCCAAUCAUAUGAUCAGAGAUUUGUCCUAAUUUUCUACAUUGUAUGAUGAUGUUUCUAAACAUGUUAUUCAUACGACAAACAUGCAUACAUUUCCUGCUUCGACUAUUGGUUCUGUUAGAAAAUUGUCUAAUGUUCUUUAUGUACCAAAUUUAAAGGCUAAUUUGAUUUCGGUAGGUCAACUAGUUGAUCAAAAUUGUGUUGUAAAAUUCUCACUCAAUGUUUGUGUUGUUCAGAAUCUAAAAAUCGGAUGACCAUGGCCAAGGAGCAUAGAGUUGGUAGAAUGUUUCUUCUAGAGUUGGUUCAUCGUCAUUUGCAUCAUUGUUUUCUUUCAGUUUCUGGCGCAGAUGUUACUCGCUUGAAUAAGUUGCUCACUCUUUGGCAUAAUAGGAUGAGUCACCCUCAUUCCUCUAGGAUUCAUCACAUUCUCAAAUCAUGUCUUCCAAAAACAUAUGACAUUCAUUCCAGUCUCCCUUUGGCCUGCUCUAAUUGUGCCGGUUUGAAAAGUCACAAUCCUUUUUUUUCAUUCGGAUCAUCUUCUUAUGAAGAUCUGUUUGAGUUGGUGCAUAGUCAUGUUUGAGGUCCUUCUCCUAUUUUGUCAAGGAUGGGAUAUAAGUACUUUGUGUUAUUAUUGAUCAUGUAUCUAGAUACACAUGGGUGUAUUUUAUUUACAAUAAUUCUGAGGUUUCGACUAUUAUGAAUUUUAUUGAGUAUGUUUAUACACAAUUUCAUAAAACUAUAAAAAUAUUUCAUUCUGAUUCUAGAGGAGAGUACAUUAAAACUAAUCUUGUUGAGUUUUUUUAAAAAAACAAAGCAAUUCUUUCCCAAUGCACUUGUCCUCAUGUUCCGGAACAAAAUGGAGUCGUAGAAAGGAAGAAUCGAUAUGUUUUGGAAACUACAAUGACUUUAUUGGGUACAUCUAAUAUGCCUAAGAGUUUCUGGCCUGAAGUAGUACAUACUUCCGUUUGAUUAAUAGACCACUUUCCCUAGUCAUUGCCACUGAGACACCGUACUUCAAAUUAUUUCAUAAGGAGUCUAAUAUUUCUACUUGCGAGUUUUUGGUUGUGUAUGCUUUGUCCAUCUUCUAGCACAUGAAUGACAAAAGCUUUCAGCAAAUGUAGCACAAUGUAUUUAUAGGCUACAACGACACACGAAAGGGGUAUUCUUUUAUGAUGCAUCUCGUCGUCAGGUUCGUGUAUCUAGGGUCAAUUUUCUUACAAACACAAUUCUAAACAUGCUUCAGAAUCUGUUUGUUUUUUGUACAAGUUUGAUGAUGAUGUGGUAGCUACUGAUCCUCCGGAGCAGCCGAUGAACUAUGUUCACUAUGAUCUCCAGCCCUCCUUUCCUUCAGAUAUUGACUCUACAUCCUCAUCCUCAUCUUCAGAAGAGGAAUCAUCUCAUUCAGUUACUCCCCCACGCCGUUCUAGUAGGCAGAUCACCAUGCUCUUGAACGACUCGAUUACUCUCCGAGGAAAUUUGGUAAGUCUUAUGCCAUGCAUACCACACUUCAUUUUGUUGAUGUACCUACAUCUUACCCUCAGGCUUCUACAUAAACUUGUUGGAAAGAGGCAAUGUCGGCAGAGCUUCAUGUAUUGAAUGAAAAUUCUACUUGGGACCUUAUUGAUAAACCAACAUAUGGAGUUCCCAUUGGAACUAAGUGGGUGUAUUCCAUUAAACUUAAGGCAGAUGGUACAAUUGAUCGCUACGAAGCUCGAUUGGUUGCUCAAGGGUACAAACAUGAGUAUAGGGUGGAUUAUGAGGAGACUUUUGCACCAGUUGCUAAGAUGACAACCGUACAAACACUAUUGGUUGUGACUUCAAUGAGAGGCUGGACCUUAUGUUGACACCCAAUUUUGGACCUCCACAAUAAAAAUUAAUCAUCUCGAGUUUCUUCAAUUUUAAACGAUUUAAAAUAAUUAGUUUUAUAAAAUUUCAAAAAAAUAAAUGAUAAUAAUAAUAAUAAUAAUAAUAAUAAUAGUAAUAAUAAUAAUAUAGUUUGCAAGAUUUUUAAAUAGUUUGUCACUUUUCAUAAAUUUUAGAUGAUAUAUAUGUUUUACAUAAUUAUGUAUAUAAUUAGUAUAUUUUAUGAUUAUUCGAAAUAUCGUCUAAAAGAAAAAAAGAUUUUUUAUAUUUUAAAUAUUAGGGAUGGUUAUAAUUUUGAGUUAAUGAGUAUCAUGAAAUUCAAAAUACUUUCAAGUUAUUUUUAAAGUAAUUUUAUCACUUUUUAAUAAUAAGUAUGUAUAGUUUUGCAAUCACGCUAUUUUAUAAAUAUUUAAAAAUUAUCACAAAAGAUUUUACAUUUUAGUUAAAUAUUUUAUCAAUUUGCUUUAAGUUAUAGCUAUAAUUUCGAGUUAAUUAGUUUUGUAAUUGAAUUAAUNNNNNNNNNNNNNNNNNNNNNNNNNNNNNNNNNNNNNNNNNNNNNNNNNNNNNNNNNNNNNNNNNNNNNNNNNNNNNNNNNNNNNNNNNNNNNNNNNNNNNNNNNNNNNNNNNNNNNNNNNNNNNNNNNNNNNNNNNNNNNNNNNNNNNNNNNNNNNNNNNNNNNNNNNNNNNNNNNNNNNNNNNNNNNNNNNNNNNNNNNNNNNNNNNNNNNNNNNNNNNNNNNNNNNNNNNNNNNNNNNNNNNNNNNNNNNNNNNNNNNNNNNNNNNNNNNNNNNNNNNNNNNNNNNNNNNNNNNNNNNNNNNNNNNNNNNNNNNNNNNNNNNNNNNNNNNNNNNNNNNNNNNNNNNNNNNNNNNNNNNNNNNNNNNNNNNNNNNNNNNNNNGAAAAUUGGUACAAUGGAAAAUUUAUUUCUUAUCUCUUCAAGAUUUUGAUUUUUCAAAUUGGAUUCGGAUCCAUCUUUUCAACCCGAUUUCCCCUCUAAAUCGACCUCAAAUCCCCCUAUAUAUAAACCCCCACUGCCUUCAUUCUAUAAGGGGGGUUAGGAGAAAAUUUUAGAAGAGCUAUAGAGUUGGCCAGAAUUUACUCACGAAAUAUAGGUUAUAAAGGUCUGGGAAUAGUCAAUUUUACAUUUUGAAAAGUUCUUGGAAGACUCUAGUUUAAGAGUUUAGGAAAGUUUAUUAUUCGGGUUUCAUUUGGAUUCUCUUGGUGUGUUGUUCGAGCUUUGAAUCCGUGUGUUGGAAAAUUUGAAACCAAGCUCCCAUCUGUCCCGGAACGCUGCUCCGAAGAAGGUAAUUCUGCCUCUUCUUACAUUUUAUUUCGGUAUGAUGUGUUGUAUGUCCAAGCUUUUACUACAGGUCCUACUAUUAAGUGUGUUUGGUUCCUCGUCUUGUUGGUUUCUUUACUGUCGUUCUUAUGAAUUUCUCGGCACAUGACUCAAGUUUUGAUAAAGUUUCUUUGGUAGUAAGAUGCUAGUCGUUAGAUUCGCUGGUUCAAUGGGGUAUCAAAAUGAUGUACUGUUCGAUUGGUUUCGACUUUGAAUAUGCUAUAUGUAUAAGUUUGAUUGGUUAUCCUCUCUAUCGUUUUAUUCAUUAUGAUAGACUCUCAUUUUAUAUUAGCUCAAUCUCAUGCUAUAAUUAAAUAAAAAUCUCUGCUUUUACAUACUUGAGUGCUGUCCAUGUCUUGUUAUUGUUUUGUUUCUUCUGGUCUCAAGGCAUGGUGUCAUUAUAACUCGCUUGUUUCCAUGAUCCACAACCUCGAUGCUAAAACCUCUCAUCCUUUCCAUGAAAAACAUUGUUUCCUGACCAUGUGAGUGUAUUAGGCAUCUACAUUCUAUUUUAUUAUGUUAAAUGAAGUUUAUCUCCAUGAUAAGUAUCGACUAUUUGUACGAUAUGAUUAACGAGCUCAAUAGUCGAAGUGUAAGGUUGACCUCCUUGGCUUUCUCUGUUAAGUAUUUUACUUCAAGAUUGUUGAUAAUUUCAUUAUUGUGCAACGGUAGAUGAUUUCUAGCAUUUAAAGUUGUCCAGCUUCAAUUUUGUGUAGCAUUAAUCAUGUUUGAGAGUCUGAGUAAGUGCUCUAAAUUUGUUUGUUUGUUUAUUAGUAUCUAAUGUAGUCCUUAUAUUUUGCUAAAAAAGAAAUAAUAAAAAAAUCAAUAAAUAAAUAUGCUUUACUUUUCACAUGUUGCCAGUUGUUGAUGUUGAUUGUUUAUGAUAUGAAUAAUCACGGUUCCCUUUCAAUUAUCUCUUUUAAAUUAUUUACUUUCCGAAUUGAUAUCCUUCGUUUCUUGUCGGUGGGUGAUACUUGAACCUAAUGUGUAUGAGUACGGUUGCCUCACAUUACUCGAAUGAAGCUUUAAAUUUGUAUGUCUGUGAGUUCAUUAGCUACUAACGUAUAAAGAUAGAUAUCACUAGAGUUUCCCUUUUAGUGUUGGCUUAUAGCAAUAUUUGUUGUUCAAAUGCACUUGUAAACUUGUCCUUAGUUGCUAAUAAUUUGUUCGUUGAUACUAGUUUGCAUAAUGUGGUCACUGCCACAUAGAACUUAUUCACUGAUUUAGUUGUAUUCUUCCAUUUCAGCUCUCUUUUGAGUUAUUUGUAUUGUAUAAGUAGUCUUUCAUUAUCUUUAAAUAGGCCUUAUCUACAUACACAUCCUCCUUGCCUUAUGUAGUUGUGAUUAGUAAUCAAUUUGUUUAGUUCACUAUUUAUCUUGUUUCAUCUCUUUAGUAGAUAUUAUGUAUAUUUUGUUUAGUUAGGAAACUUUCUCUAAUGGCUUGUCCCAUUCUUAAUUAGUUUCCACAAUUAGCUCUCAUUUUUUAAUACAAUAUCACCAUCCUUUUGUCUAGAAAUAUAAUGUUAUUAAUUAGGUUCUCAUCUCUUAAAAAAUUUAUGUGUCUACCUUCGUCUAGAGUUAAUUACUUGAUCAUAUAUUUGAUGGAAGUUUUACCUUUUCUUUUUUUUCUAAUUCUUCUCCUCCUCUUUGUGUGCAUGUAAACCCCUUCCGAGUCCAUGGUGGACUUCUCCUCCUAGCAUUCUCGAGUUGAGCCAUAAAGGCUUAAUUAAAAAAAUUUCUCAUCAUUCGAGUCAGCUGGGCACAUAAAACAGAAGCACAGGGCUGGAAACCCAGAGACAAGCCUCCAAAAGUCCUAAGAUGGACUAUAUACAUUCAUUAUACACUGUAUACAUUCAGUAUACAUCAAUAUACAGGUCAAAAACGCAGGGAUACAGGGCUGAUGCGAAAUACAUGUGUUUGGAAGCAAGAUAUACAUGAAAAGGGCUGAUAUACAUGUCGAUAUACACUGAUAUACAUCAAGUGUAUACAAAAACGGGAUUGAGUAAAAUCCCCAGAAAUUGCAGCAAAAUUGGCCCAAAAAGGAGGCCCAAAUUCAAUUUCUAACUUAUUUAAUUGUGUGAUUAUUUAUUUAUUUCUUUUCUUUUAAAUUGCGACUUAAUUUAAUUAAAUUCCCCAAAAGAUAAACCAUGUUCUUUAUGUUAGUUUCUUUAAAAAUAAUUUGUUUUUUAUCAACUCUUAUGCUUAUUCAAAUAUUUUUAGUCAAAA
rnacentral:lncRNA from 1 species